GUCUUGCUCCCUCCCCACCCCCUUUGUGGGGGCUGAUUUGGGCCCUGCCACACCCCCCUCCAAAUUCUGCUCCCCUAGGGGGCACACCCCACACUUUGACCACUGUCCUAGGCUAUGGUAAGAGCCACCCAGGAGCCUGGGCAACUGGGGAGCCCAGACCCUCCACCUGCCCUGGGCGAGGGACUGGGGAGCCCAAGAGCAGCCCAUGGUGUCCCACCCAGGGCAGGUGGAGGGUCCAGGGCCUCCUCUUAAUCCACCUCUGGAGAUGGGGAACAGUGCUGAGGGAAGGUGGGGGGAAUCCUGUCCACCCUGCUGUGCCCUGAUUUCACAUCCCAAGCCCCUCGCUCCACAGACCAUUCCCCUUCUGUGCCCUGGUUUGAGGAAGGUGCAAUUAUGGGGUUCCCAAGUGGGGUCAACAGCUGGAGGUUGACUCAUGCCCCAAACCAUGAAGGUUCAUAGCCAUUUAGAUAUUCCUUCCACCAGGCUCUCAGAAACAUACAGAUUCUUGGCACUGCACCAAGAUGAAUAGGGUAAAAUUGUGACUCAUCUCCAACAUGCCAGGUCCCCACAUGAUGCGGGAGAGUGGAGCAUGCUUUGAAGAUGCAACUGAGGAUGUUAUAACAUCAAUAAGCCUAAGAAAAUAAAAAAUCCAAGAGAAACCCUUGCCAUCCCUUUCUCUCACUAAUUACAUCAGGAACAUUUAACAGAAAUGUGUCCUUUCAAACAACAGCAAGUUCUAUGGGCCCGUGGUGCCUGGACACCAGGAAUAUUCCUGGCUCGGGGCCCAGCUCCAGCAAUGUUUGAGGCUAGGUCUCUCCCUCGGCCCCGCCUUCCACUCCCGGGCACUCCCGCAUCCCCCAGGAGAUUUAAAACAGCCCAGAGCCCCCACUGACCACUAGCAGCGCAGCAGAGCUGAGCAGCUUCCUGCCUGCUCGCUCCACAUGGCUGCUGGCCCUUCCCUGCGGCCCCUGGGUAGGGUCUGUCUGUGUCUGCUGCUCCUGCCCCAAACACCCCUAUGGCUAAUAGGAAACUGCGGGGACAGUGCCUGGGGACAGCAGCACGCAGAGGCCCCCCCUGGCCCGCCCAGAACCCAUAAUAUGGAUUCUGCAUUACUUAAGCAAGAGAGCUAGCAGAAACAAGCAAAGGUGGUUAAAGAAGUUGUUUUGCUACAAAAGAUACUGACAAUAAAUCAAUACUUCAAGGAGAGAGAGAAAGGAGAAACAGCGGACAAAGACGACAAGGUGGUUCCAGGGAAGACGUGUUUGCUGUCUGAAGAUCUCUUCUCGGCUGCACAAAGGUGAAUGUGUUACAGAGCACUGGCUUAUUUAUUCACCAUCUUCUCGAAAUGUUUACUGUUUUGCCUACAAACUUCUUUCAACCAAAACCCGUGCCUUUAUUGAAGGAUUCAGUGAUUGGAAACAUCCUGAAUGUCUUUCUAAACAUGAGAAAAGCUUGGACCACUGAAAUGGUAUGCUGGCAUGGAUACAGCAUGCAAAGGCAACAGGUAGAGUUGAUCCAGGCCUAGCUCAGCAGUUUCAGACAGAGAAUCAGUACUGGAGAGAUGUCUUUAAGCAUGUUGUAGCAGUUAUUAAGUUCUUAAGUGAGUGUGGACUCGCAUUCUGUGGCCACAAUGAGCUGUUAGGUUCACCACAUAAUGGUAAUUAUUUGGGGAUUUUGGUGCUAAUUGCUCAAUUUGAUUCAUUUUUGGCAGAUCAUAUUGCUAAAUUAGGACAGAAGGGUAAAGGCAGUACCUCUUAUCUGUCAUUGACUACUUGUGAAGAAUUCAUUGAUUUGAUGGGCCAGAAAGUUAAAACAAAAUAGUUGCAGCACUUCAACAAGCCAAAUAUUUUUCAGUUAUUGUGGAUUCAACACAGUUGAUGUUGCAUGUUGAUCAGCUCACUUUUGUAUGCAGAUUUGUCAAGUGAGAGGGACAAAUUGUAGAAUGAUUCAUUGGAUUUGAGCCGCUAGAGACUUAUACAGGUUCAAGCCUUGCUGAUUGUGUACUUGCAAUGACAAACAGUUUGCGUUUGGACAAAUCUAAUUGCCCUGGACAAACAUGACAAUGUCAGCAAUAUGUUGGGAUGAUAUAAUGGUCUGCAGGCGCAUCUAAAUCAACUAAACCCUCUUAUUGUCUACAUUCUGUGUGCUGCUCAUUCUUUAAAUUUAGUGGGAGUCAACAGUAUUAACAACCGUUGUUUAAAUGCAGUUAAUUUUUUCUGGUUUCUGCAGUCACUUUGUUUUCUGUUCAGCCUCUACAUAUCAAUAGAAACAGGUUUUCCAUGAUGCUAGGAGCCACUCAUUCUUGACAGUCAAAAGUCUGUCUAACACAUGAUGGAGCAGUUGGGCAGAUUCUACAAGGGCCCUGUAUCAGAACUAUAAUACAAUUCAGCAUGCCCUAGAAAGCAUGUCAAAAGAUAUGAACUAGUAACUUCAGAGCAAAAUGGAACAUUUGGAAACAGUCUUUAUGGCACAAUUUUGGGACCUCAUUCUUCAACGGUUUAAAGUGACCAGCUUGCGUUACAGAAAGGUGACAUCGACCUGAAUACAGCAGUUCACUUACUGCAAUUACUACAAUCAUUUGUAGCUUCUCUAUGAGAUUAAUUCGAAAUUUUUGAAAAUGCUGCUACAAACACAUGCAAGACUCUUUCAUAGAAUUAUCAAACUGAUCUGAGUUGUUACUGAAAACAAAAAACAGUUAGCAGAUGAAUUGGAAGGUCCUGAGGUUUUACUUGAGGGAAGUCAAAAGUUUCACACAGAGACUUUUUAUGUAGCUUAUCUUCAUCACCGACAAGAUGCCUGUAAGUUGUUGAAUGACAACUUUGGAGUACUAUUUGAAAACAACUUGCUGGACAUUUCUAACAUUCACAAGCAUGCUGCUGAACUUGCUGCAGUUUACCCUGAUGACUUGGAACAGAAUUUUCCUGAUGGACUCAUACAAUUCAAAUUCUUUGUAUAGGAUGAGUCUGACAAAUCUCCAGCCAAUUUGCUGCAAGUUUUAAAGCAAAGCGGCCUUCAGUCAACAUUCUCUAAGACGUAUCUUGCUCUCAGAAUUUUCAUACCCUACAGUUACAUAUUGUGAAGGAGAACGUAUGGUUUCCAAGAUGGCCAGGAUAAAAAAUGAACUGAGAUCAACAAUGCAUCAAAGGCAUCUGAAUGACUUGUCUCUAAUGGCUGUUGAGUCAGAACUGGUUCGACAAAUGGACUUUGACAUUAUACAUGAUUGUUUUCUUCCCUCAAAACUCGGAAGCAAACAAUCAUUUAAAAGGAAAGACUGUACAUUCUUAUGAUAUGUUUUGUAUGUGUAUUUUUGGGUACACAAUGUGAUAGUAUUAUUAAAAUGUAAAUGUAAUGGGUACAUUAAAGAGAGACAUUUAUAGUA